rnacentral:sRNA from 1 species
AGAAGUGCGACAGCCUACCUAAAGAUGGC